UCUAAGUAUAACCUGCCAGACAGGGAAACUGCGUACGGCUCAUUACACCAGCCUUAAUUUACUUGACCUUGACAACCUACUUGGAUAACUGUGGUAAUUCUAGAGCUAAUACAUGCACCAAAGCUCCGAUCCUCGCGGAGAGGAGCGCAUUUGUUCGCCACAAAACCAAGCGCCCAUCUGGGCGUCCAGUGCUGAACCAGAACAACUCAGCUGAUCGCACGGUCUUGUACCGGCGACGUGUCUUUCAAGUGUCUGCCUUAUCAACUUUCGAUGGUAGUGUACCUGACUACCAUGGUUGUGACGGGUAACGGAGGAUAAGGGUUCGACUCCGGAGAAGGGGCCUGAGAAAUGGCCACUACGUCUAAGGAUGGCAGCAGGCGCGCAAAUUACCCACUCUCAACGCGAGGAGGUAGUGACGAGAAAUAACGAGACCGUUCUCAUACGAGGCCGGUAUUGGAAUGGGUACAAUUUAUC
rnacentral:rRNA from 1 species